rnacentral:pre_miRNA from 1 species
UGCCUGGCUCCCUGGAUGCCAUCUAAGAAGCUUGUCAAGAAUGUUGACACCCUUUCUAGUUGGCAUCAGGGGAGUCACGCAGA